rnacentral:rRNA from 1 species
AGCAUAUCCAAUAAGCGGAGGAAAAGAAACUAACAAGGAUUCCCCUAGUAACUGCGAGUGAAGCGGGAAAAGCUCAAAUUUAAAAUCUGGCAGUCUUUGGCUGUCCGAGUUGUAAUCUAGAGAAGUGUUAUCUGCGCUGGACCGUGUACAAGUCUCCUGGAAUGGAGCGUCAUAGAGGGUGAGAAUCCCGUCUUUGACACGGACUACCAGGGCUUUGUGAUGCGCUCUCAAAGAGUCGAGUUGUUUGGGAAUGCAGCUCAAAAUGGGUGGUAAAUUCCAUCUAAAGCUAAAUAUUGGCGAGAGACCGAUAGCGAACAAGUACCGUGAGGGAAAGAUGAAAAGAACUUUGGAAAGAGAGUUAAACAGUACGUGAAAUUGCUGAAAGGGAAACGCUUGAAGUCAGUCGCGUUGUCCAGGGAUCAACCUUGCUUUUGCUUGGUGCAUUUCCUGGUUGACGGGUCAGCGUCAAUUUUGAUUAUUGGAAAAAGAUUAAGGGAAUGUGGCAUCUUUGGAUGUGUUAUAGCCCUUGGUUGCAUACAAUAGUUGGGAUUGAGGAACUCAGCACGCCGCAAGGCCAGGUUUUUAACCAUGUACGUGCUUAGGAUGCUGGCAUAAUGGCUUUAAUCGACCCGUCUUGAAACACGGACCAAGGAGUCUAACAUGCCUGCGAGUGUUUGGGUGGAAAACCCGAGCGCGCAAUGAAAGUGAAAGUUGAGAUCCCUGUCGUGGGGAGCAUCGACGCCCGGACCAGACCUUUUGUGACGGUUCCGCGGUAGAGCAUGUAUGUUGGGACCCGAAAGAUGGUGAACUAUGCCUGAAUAGGGUGAAGCCAGAGGAAACUCUGGUGGAGGCUCGUAGCGAUUCUGACGUGCAAAUCGAUCGUCAAAUUUGGGUAUAGGGGCGAAAGACUAAUCGAACCAUCUAGUAGCUG